rnacentral:rRNA from 1 species
AUGGACAAAUCCUACCCAUCUAAAGCUCCUAUGGUGGUUCAUUCUCUAGAUGUAGAGAAAGAUUCAUUCAGGCCAAGGGAUGAUGGAGAAGAGGCGUUGGGACCUGAAGUUCCAUACCUCGGUGUUGUUGGGGCGAGGCCAAGGGAUGAUGGAGAAGAGGCGUUGGGACCUGAAGUUCCAUACCUCGGUGCUGUUGGAGCGCUUAUGUAUCUUGCAAAUUGCACAAGACCUGAUAUUGCAUUUGCAGUGAAUCUACUUACUAAACACAACGCAGCUCCCACCAAACGCCAUUGGUCUGGAGUGAAGAAUAUCUUUCAAUAUCUCCAGGGCACAAAGGAUCUUGGCCUAUUUUUCCAGUUCCAGAGAAAUCGGACUCUGAUAUGA